rnacentral:lncRNA from 1 species
GAGAAGGUGUCGAUCCAGUGCCAGUUAAUGCAUUUAGAGAAUUAGACAGGCUCUGAAUAAUUAGGAGUGGAUGAGAAUCUGGAAUGAGCAGGGUGCUGUGAAGUGUGGGAGUAGUGGAGGUGCACAGCAACUGACAUAAAGAGAAUUUCCAGGCAGGUGCACGUAGGAAACCAGAGACAGAAAAAUAUCUUAUCAAAAGUCAAUGACUGAGCUAUAUCUUCCACAAAUGUACAUAAAAUCAUUGUAACCACUUUGCUGAAUACGCUGAAAUCUGUGUUGUACAAAUAGAAAAGGGCUUAUUAUUUUCCAGUCUUACUCUUCAAUUAUGCUCUGUUGGAUUUUCUUUUCCCUGUGCCUCGAUUGCCUUAUAGGCAGAAUUCAUACUGUUCCAAUAUUAGAACAGUCUUGUUUUGUUAGCGAAAAUUCAUAUUGGAGUAGUAAAAGUUUUGGUGCUGUUUAAAUCAAGAUUUCAAUCUCACGUUUAAUUCAGUGCUUCUUACCUCCCUUUGGCCUAGGCCUAACUGACCACAGAGUGCGUGACUUGUUUUACUCUCUCCUUUUUCCUUGUUCUUCACUUCAACCCCAGACAUUACCCCUGGGUCUUCCAGGGUUAAGGGAGGAGAAGAUAGACUAAAGGAAGUCCCACCUUACUUGGAGGUGCUAGAAUGCAGUGUCAUUGCCCUCUGUGAAGUGAAGGGCUCCUUCAUAGAACAAUGUUUACAUGAUGCCUUGGAAGCCCACUGAGAAUUCUAACUUGGAUAUGUUCUUUCUGACUCUCUUGAGAUGAUCCUUCCUUGCCCAUGGUAUACUACAAGCUUCUUAUUGCUUGGGUCCCUAUGACCCAAUAAGCCCCCAUUGUGGGUUGGGUGCUUUCUAUGUCAUAACCCCCAGACACAGUUAAUAUUCCCUUAUGUGGUAGAAGGACUUUGGUUGAUAUGGUUGACUUAAGAAUCUUGAGAUGGGGAAAUAAUCAUGGCUUAUCCAAGUGGGCCUAAUGCAAUCAAAAGAGUUCUUAUCAGAGGGAAGCAGGAGGAUCAGUCAUAGAAGAUUUGAGGAUGGAGGCAGAGGACAGAGAGGAGAGAAGAUGCUAUGUUGCUGGCUCUGAAGAUGGCAGAAGAGGCCACAUGCCAAGGAAUGUAGGCAACCUCUUCAACCCAGAACAGGCAAGAUGGUGGAUUCUUUCCUGGAGCCUCCAUAAGACAAGCAACCCUACAGACCCAUUUUAGACUUCUGAUGUCUGGAACUAUAAGAGGAGUUCAUAGCUACGAUAGAUUUCAUAUUCGA